ensembl:misc_RNA Metazoa_SRP Metazoan signal recognition particle RNA
GCUGGGCAUGGUGGUGCAUGCCUGUAAUCUCACCUACUCGGGAGGCUGAGACACGAGAAUCGCUUGAACCCAGGAGACGGAGGUUGCAGUGAACCGAGAUCAUGCCACUGCACUCCAGCCUGGGCAACAAAGCGAGACCUUGUCUCAA